AUAUAAUAGUAAAUUCAGUUUUACUUUGAUAUUUCAUUUCAUUACAGCCACAACUAAUAGCCUAAAGUAGUUCUUCUCUUCAAAGAGGAGAGUGGAUUCCCAACAACAGAUGUGGUUUUUGCAGUGGUUCUGCCAGGGCUCCCAUGAUAUCUUUAGAAGCAUUCAACCUAGAAUGAAAGGGCUCCCUGGAUUCCUUAAACAUAUGGAUGAAUCCCAUUUUUUUUACAGUAAGGACAGAUGCUUCAAAAUGGAAGAGAGAUUAGAACUGCAGCAUAUCACCUUUCAAAUGGCAUCUGCACAAAGUCUAUUCCAUAUGAACAAAAUCUCUGAAAACAAGUGCACGUGA
rnacentral:lncRNA from 1 species